AUGGUAAGGCACCUGCCAAAGGUGACCAGGAAUCAGAGCAGGACCUCUUCCCUGCAGGGAGGAUGAAAUGGUCAAAACUACUUUACCAAAGACCAGAGUGAGAUCCGUGGAGAGGAUGAAACUUGCUGGGGUCCCCAAGAGGGUCUGUGACAGACAGACCUGGGCACAG